GCCCCGGUGGCGGAAUCGGUAGACGCAGCGGAUUCAAAAUCCGCCGCCGCAAGGUGUGCCAGUUCGAGUCUGGCUCGGGGCACCA
rnacentral:tRNA from 1 species